GGCGCCGCGGCUCGCGCUCCGCUCCCGUCCCCCCCUCGCGCGCGGCGGCCGCUCCCCCUCCCCCUCCCCCCGCGGCGCCCCCUUCCCUCACAGCGCGGCAAGAUGGCGGCGGCGCGCGGCGGCGGCGGCAACAUCCAGAUGCUGCUGGAGGCGGCCGAGUACCUGGAUCGGCGGGAGCGAGAAGCGGAGCACGGCUACGCCUCGCUGCUCCCCUACGGCGGCGGCAAGGACGGCGAGGCCCUGCGGCGCCGCGCCAAGGCCAAGAAGAGCAGCAGUAGCAACAGCAGGUCAACACACAAUGAGAUGGAGAAGAACAGGCGUGCCCAUCUGCGAUUGUGUUUGGAAAAGCUGAAAGGGCUGGUACCACUUGGUCCUGAAUCCAGUAGACAUACUACGCUGAGUUUACUAAAAAAAGCUAAAUUGCACAUAAAGAAGCUUGAAGAAUAUGACAGAAAAGCAGUACACCAAAUAGACCAGCUGCAGCGGGAACAGAGGCAUCUGAAAAGGCAGCUGGAGAAACUGGGCAUAGAAAGAAUAAGAAUGGACAGUAUAGGAUCUACAGUUUCCUCGGAGCGCUCGGACUCUGACAGAGAAGAGAUUGAUGUGGAUGUCGAGAGCACAGACUGCCUACCUGCAGACCUAGACUGGAGCAGCAGCGGUCUGAGCGAUUCGGAUGAAAGGGGAAGCCUGCAGAGCGUCUGCAGCGACGAAGGCUAUUCCAGCUCGGGUGUCAAGAGAUUGAAGUCACAGAGCAAUCACAAGCCUUGUCUCGGUCUAUAAGAAGCAACUCCUGUAGCCGUUUCACGCGUUGCUGUUUCCCUGUUGGAUCUCGUUAGGUAGUGUAUUGGACCGUCCCACAAUUCUCUUGCACGUAAAUCUAACGUACCACCGACAUCAUUGAAGUCAGCUUUGCCUAAGUCCCAAAACAGUGCAUAGGGUUGUGGGUUACAAGCUACUCUCUGGAGCACACAUCUGAUUGCAUCCACUAGCUUCUCUUCCUGUCAGUAAACUCAUCUCUGUGAGACUGUACAUUCCAACCAAAUUUUGAAGCGCCCGAGAAUAUUUUAGCAGUAACAGCGACCUAAAAAAGCCUCUACUUCUUUUCUUUCUUUCUUUCUUUUUCUUUUUGGCUUGCUGUUAGUGCCUGAUAUUCUAGAUCUGCUUUGUAUUUGCCUAGCAACGUAAUGUAUCUAAUGAUCAGAAAUAGGGCCCAAAGGUAACCUGUCUGGGCAAUGCUCUGAAGGGAGAACCAAUCUAAUAUUUAGUUUAGAUCUGGCAGUGGGUGGAGGGAAGUCUGAGAGCGGUGCGCGGAGCAUUUCAGCCAUGUCACGUCUUCGGCGUGCGCGAUAAUUGCACUGUGAAAUGCUGGAGCGUUAAUUUGAGGACUUAUCUCUAAAUAUUCAGGGUAUUAGCGUAACCGUAUAACCUUUGGCCCAGUCCUGCUGUCUUACUACAGCUCCUACUGGUUUUUGAAGGCCGCGGUGGGAAAGCAGGAGAGAUCCUGCGAAGGCCGCUCUUGCGUUAGCAACCGCCGAGAAGCAGUGGGAGUUCUGACGACAGCAGGGCUGCGGGGACCCGUCUCGGGAGGUUUUGAGCACCCUCUGCAGAAUGCAAGGCACUUCUCCCUGCGAGACCGGGCUGCAGGACCUUGGCGAGGGAGCUCCUGCUCCUCCUCUUGCAGAGCCUUUGAGAGGACGUCUUCAGUUUGUACACAUCUCAAAAGUUUCUUUAAUACCUAAAACCAAAUGGUACUAUACUUCUCCUGUGCAAUUUAUGACCUCAUGCAUUACAGCUGCAUAUUACUGUUCUAGGCAAGUUUUCCUAGAAGCUCGUUCAUGCAUCUUGUCUCUGGGACAAAUUUUUUCUACCUCAGAGAGAUGAACAAAGAUUAUCUCAAUCCCUUUAGCACAAAAAUAAUUAUGCCUCAUUUGUUUUAUAGAAGCGAUGCUUGGUCCUCUUCAAAUCUGUUACGCAAAAGUUAGCAAUAACUGAGUGAUGAGGGUAGCUGUGCUACCUUUGGCUGUUGGUGAUUGAGAAGGGCACGUUUUACAGAAUGUUGCUUAACAGGCAGAUCAUAAAAUGCUGUCCGGGGUCGCAGUACAGAUGGUGAAACCAGGCACGUGCUCGUCCGGAAGAGAAAGCGGACGCUCUUGCACUUAAUCAGAGCAGAGAAAUCACAAUCGCAGUAACUUGUGUGUUAAUGAUCGUCCGUCUCAAAUGCCGAAAGUAUUGCUUGUUCCUGGCGAGCUUUUUGCUGAGCGUUGAGCGCCCGGAAUCGAACUCGCGUGCGAAGCCGAGCUUUCGACUCGUCGAGGUGCUGAUAGUCGCGCGUCACGAAUUCCCAGGGUCGUGGCUAGUAUGAGUUUCUCGUAUAAACUCAAAGAGCACUUUCUGAGCGGCUCCCUCGUGAGGAGCUCUCCGGAGCGCCGGGCAUUAGCAGGCCGCGCUCUGCCGCUCGCCGUCGUAGCGCAGCGGCCUCUACGGCCCCGGCUCCGAAAGCGGAGCGCGCCCCGGCCCCGCGCGGCUUCGCUCCUCGGCCGGGGCCGCGCGCCGAAGGGGCCAGGACGGAGCCUCGCGACGCCACGCGGCGGCCGGCGGGGCCUUUCCUGCCCUCCUCCAGCCCCGCCGGGCGGGCAGAAAGGGGCGUCCGAAAUGCCGUGUAGCAAUGUGUCAGGGCUUUGCCUUCCAGUUCUGCCCCUUUUUUGUAACAGAUUUCAGGUUUUGACACUGUACUGUAUUGGGAAGAAUUCUGCUUUUGCCAAGCUACAUGUUUGCUCCCCUGAAAGUGUUAUUUUGCUGUUGCUUGUUUUUAUUGCUGCUUGACCCGAAAGCUGUGGGUUUUUUUUUCUUUUCCAACUGUCUGCUAGUAGAAACAGGUACCCGAUUCCCAAGCGUGGUUGAACCAUUAAACUCGUACAACAGCUCUGUGAAUAGCUAGCUGCGUAGAUGUCUGGGCGGUGGAAGGAGAAGUCCCGAGCGCGGGUAGUCGCCCUCCUUUCGACUCUGCGACGGCCGGUUUCCCAAAAUGUCUGGAACGUGAUAAAACCGAUCGUCCGCGCUCCUCGGCGAUAGCUGUGUCGUACCGUUUCCUCCGGGGCAGAAGAAAAUCGAUAGAGGCGUCUCUCUCCCGGUUGCUAUUUGCUGGGUAGCUGUUGCGUGACUUAAAAGCCUUCUGAAACGUCCGAACCUUGAAUCAGUCUGGAUUUUUUUUUAAUAUCAGUUUUACUUGUGCUUUUUUUUUUUUCUUUUUUUCUUUGCUUCCACAUUGACGCGAGAACCAAACUCGCUCGUCUCGCUCGCUCGAGUCGGUGCUGUUCGCUGUUGAACCGUUGGCUUUAUUUUUGGCAGUCUUCCGAAUAAUAAACACGGACUAAACGGGGGAGCGGCAGAUGGGAGAAUAUGAAUUCUGUUUCCAGAUGUUCAGUUCCUAAUGUAAAUACCACAUCAUUAUAAAUCCUGUGUCAAGACCAUAUAAUGGUGCUUUUUAUUACAGUUAGCACAUGCAUUUUUAGAAACUACAUGUUUUAGAAGACCUUGCUGUGUAUAUGUAUACUUCUGUAUUGUUUGACUGUUAGAAAAUAAAUUAUUUCAUUAUUAA